AACGAACGCUGGCGGCAUGCCUAACACAUGCAAGUCGAACGAUUGCCCUCGGGUGUUAGUGGCGCCCGGGUUCGUAAAGCGUGGAAAUCCGCCCUUAGGUUCGGCAUAACAGCUGGAAACGGCUGCUAAUACCGGAUGCUAUUGCGAGAUCAAAGCUGUAUCGCCUGAGGAUGAGGCCGCGUUGGAUUGGGUGGUUGGUAGGGUACAGGCCUGCCAAGCUGGGGAUCCAUAGCUGGUCUGAUCGGAUGAUCAGCCAGAAUGGGACUGAGGCACGGCCCAGAACGCGAGGGGAGGGAGGAGAAGGGAGUAUUAGGCGAUGGGGGCAAAUCUAGAACCGCAAUGCCGGGUAAGUGAUGAAGGCCGUAGGGUUGUAAAGCUCUUUUAGCCGGGAAGAUAAUGACGGUACCGGGAGAAUAAGCCCCGGCUAACUCCGUG
rnacentral:rRNA from 1 species